CAGUUCCACAUGGAGAAUUAUUACUUAAAUUGGAAAAGAUGGGGAUCAAUAUGAAAAUUGAAAGGUGUAUAAGGAACUGGUUAAGGAGGAGACUACAAGAGAUCAUGCUGAAAGGUGAACUCUCAGGCUAGAGGGAGGUUACUAGUGGAGUUCCUUAGGGAUGAGUCUUGGGACCAACCUUAUUUAACAUGUUCAUUACUGACCUUGGCAC